rnacentral:rRNA from 1 species
UACGUAGGGCGCAAGCGUUAUCCGGAAUUAUUGGGCGUAAAGAGCUCGUAGGCGGUUUGUCGCGUCUGCCGUGAAAGUCCGGGGCUCAACUCCGGAUCUGCGGUGGGUACGGGCAGACUAGAGUGAUGUAGGGGAGACUGGAAUUCCUGGUGUAGCGGUGAAAUGCGCAGAUAUCAGGAGGAAUACCGGUGGCGAAGGCGGCAUCCUGGACCGACAUUGACGCUGAUGAGCGAAAGCUAGGGGAGCAAACGGG